rnacentral:tRNA from 1 species
GCCUCGAUAGCUCAGCAGGUAGAGCGAUCGGCUGUUAACCGAUAGGUCGCAGGUUCGAGUCCUGCUCGGGGCGCCA